UUAUUAAAGAAUUUCGGUUAUCGAUGGGGAUGCGUUCCAUUAGGCAGUUGGUGAGGUAACGGCUCACCAAACCUUCGAUGGAUAGGGGUUCUGAGAGGAAGGUCCCCCACAUUGGAACUGAGACACGGUCCAAACUCCUACGGGAGGCAGCAGUGAGGAAUAUUGGUCAAUGGACGGGAGUCUGAACCAGCCAAGUAGCGUGAAGGAUGACUGCCCUAUGGGUUGUAAACUUCUUUUAUAUGGGAAUAAAGUGAUCCACGUGUGGAUUUUUGUAUGUACCAUAUGAAUAAGGAUCGGCUAACUCCGUGCCAGCAGCCGCGGUAAUACGGAGGAUCCGAGCGUUAUCCGGAUUUAUUGGGUUUAAAGGGAGCGUAGGUGGACAGUUAAGUCAGUUGUGAAAGUUUGCGGCUCAACCGUAAAAUUGCAGUUGAUACUGGCUGUCUUGAGUACAGUAGAGGUGGGCGGAAUUCGUGGUGUAGCGGUGAAAUGCUUAGAUAUCACGAAGAACUCCGAUUGCGAAGGCAGCUCACUGGACUGCAACUGACACUGAUGCUCGAAAGUGUGGGUAUCAAACAGGAUUAGAUACCCUGGUAGUCCACACAGUAAACGAUGAAUACUCGCUGUUUGCGAUAUACAGUAAGCGGCCAAGCGAAAGCAUUAAGUAUUCCACCUGGGGAGUACGCCGGCAACGGUGAAACUCAAAGGAAUUGACGGGGGCCCGCACAAGCGGAGGAACAUGUGGUUUAAUUCGAUGAUACGCGAGGAACCUUACCCGGGCUUAAAUUGCA
rnacentral:rRNA from 1 species